AUAUCAAAUAAUCAGAUUAUACUUAAAAUAAUAAAAUUUGAAACUAAUUAAUUAUUUCUAAGCAAUUACAAUGCAACUGAAUUACAUUUUUAAAAAUAUCAAAUACAUAAUAAAUUUAUAUUUUUAAAUAAUUAAUAAAUUCAAAGUAAACUGAAAUAUUAAUAUAAAAUAUAAAAAAUAAAUAAAUUUGGGUGUUCCCGCUGCUGAAAAAGCGAGCGGCAAACUUUCCCCCCCCCCCUGUUUCAUUUCGAGAGACAAAAACAAACAAAACAAUUAAUCGGGGCUUUCAGACACAAUACACACUCACUCCGCUCACACAAACAAAACUCACUCACCUCCGCUCAAACUCACCCCUCUCCGCUGCUCAAAUCCACCUCUCCGCUCAGAUACACCGUCUCCGCCGCUCACACUCACCUGUAAUUAGGGCUUCGAUUAAAUUGGGGUUUUACUGGAACUAGGGCUAGCUUCGAUUUGCAGCUUCGAUUUGCUUGGAUUUAAGGACGAUAUCGAAAAACAAAUCAAAAUAUCAGGAGAUGGCACUGAUGAGCUACUACUUUCUGGUGGCAAGAAGCAUGGGAAGACUUGGCUUUACGGGAGGUGUCCAAAUGCAGCCAAAGUCCUUCGCAGUACAAGUUCAGGGAAUAGUUACGUGGAAGACCUGGCAUGUAAGAUCAAGGAAAGUCUGGCCGAAGAUGUCAAGGAAUCAGUGAGCAAGCAAGUCCAAGAAGAAGUGGAUGCUCAAGUAAACAAGAAGGUCCAACAAAACUUGACCUUGGCGCUUAAAAAAAUUGCGGAGGCAAACCCAGGCAUCAAAAUUAAUAUGGAGGAUUUUUGUCCAACAGCUUCGAGUGAUGAUGAAAAUGGUACGCCUAUAACUGGCGGUGCUAGCUGCUAGGUUCUCCAUGUUGUCUCCAUCUCCAGUAGUAAUAGUAUUAACCUAUUUCCUGCUUUUGGGUAUAUUUUGGUCAUCAACUAGUUGGUAAAUUAAAGAUUUGGUAAUUUCUUUUGUUUUAGUUUGGUGAAUUGUGAAUUGUGCUUUUGGUUGGAGUUGGUGAAUUGUGGAUUUGGUUGGAGUUGGUAGCUGCUUGGAUUUGGUUGAACUUGUGUAGCUAUUUUGGUUUGUAGAUGUUGAAUUGGUUGGAUUUAUUGGGAAUUUUAAUAUUUUAAACAGUAUA